GAUGAACGCUGGCGGCGUGCCUAAUACAUGCAAGUCGAGCGAACAGACGAGGAGCUUGCUCCUUUGACGUUAGCGGCGGACGGGUGAGUAACACGUGGGUAACCUACCUAUAAGACUGGGAUAACUUCGGGAAACCGGAGCUAAUACCGGAUAAUAUUUCGAACCGCAUGGUUCGAUAGUGAAAGAUGGCUUUGCUAUCACUUAUAGAGGGACCUGCGCCGUAUUAGCUAGUUGGUAAGUUAACGGCUUACCAAGGCAACGAUACGUAGCCGACCUGAGAGGGUGAUCGGCCACACUGGAACUGAGACACGGUCCAGACUCCUACGGGAGGCAGCAGUAGGGAAUCUUCCGCAAUGGGCGAAAGCCUGACGGAGCAACGCCGCGUGAGUGAUGAAGGUCUUCGGAUCGUAAAACUCUGUUAUUAGGGAAGAACAAACGUGUAAGUAACUGUGCACGUCUUGACGGUACCUAAUCAGAAAGCCACGGCUAACUACGUG
rnacentral:rRNA from 1 species